GUAGGGAAUAUUGGACAAUGGGGGGAACCCUGAUCCAGCCAUGCCGCGUGGAGGAAGACUGCCCUCUGGGUUGUAAACUCCUUUUAUAUGGGAAGAACCGUCCUCAUUAAUGAGUGACCUGACGGUACCAUAGGAAUAAGCACCGGCUAACUCCGUGCCAGCAGCCGCGGUAAUACGGAGGGUGCAAGCGUUAUCCGGAGUCACUGGGUUUAAAGGGUGCGUAGGCGGAUAAAUAAGUCAGUGGUGAAAUCAACGGUCUCAACCUGUUAACUGCCAUUGAUACUUUGUAUCUUGAAUAUGAGAGAGGUAGGCGGAAUGUUGCAUGUAGCGGUGAAAUGCUUAGAUAUGCUACGGAACACCGAUUGCGAAGGCAGCUUACUAUUUCGUAAUUGACGCUGAGGCACGAAAGCGUGGGUAGCGAACAGGAUUAGAAACCCGUGUAGUCC
rnacentral:rRNA from 1 species